AUGUCAGUGGCAGGGUGACGUCACGAUGACGCGGGCGUGAUGUGGCUGAUUCAGACGUUUAGCAUCGCGGUUGAGUUCUCGUUGGAGAAUUUGCCUUCGGGUUAUUGUAAUUCUCUGGGGGACAAUCGAGCAGGUAAUCAGAUAAAACGCCACAGUUACGUUACUUUGGAGUUUCCUAGCCUGAAGAUGUCAGCCGUGCUUAUUUGAAGUUAUAGCUAACGUUAGCUCUUGAAAAUCCUUUAAAAAUAAAGCAAAGAAUAAACGAGGCGCCGUUUUUGGCAGCUGUGGUUAGUGGGGUUUAACCCUAACUACUCUACAAUAACGUGCUAUAUAAUUUAGUAUGAGAUGUGCUCACUGUCAGUGCUGUAGUGGUAAAAUUAGAGGUGGGUAAACUCUGAAUUUUGCGAUCAUACAGACCUCGACGCGAUGCGAAGCAACGCAACACAAAGCGGCUAUAUUGCAUUAUGUUAUCAGUAAAAGUCAUAUACAAUCAAUGACAAUGAAUAAAUGUGUUAGUAGUUUGAAGUUUAUUAAAUUUAAGAAAACAGUAAAGAAAAGUAUGUCAACACAACAACACAAUUGCAGAUUAAGAACUAUCUACAUAUGGAGUCUCCUCUUUACAGUAGUGCCCAGAGGGCCUCCUUGUCCUCCACGUCAGGUCCUGCCUUGCACAGAGGAGCCAUGAACAACAGCAAAAAGAAAACACCACACAGACAACUUGCUUGCCCCUAAAGAUGCAUUUGGUCGCUUAAUUGUGAUCAGUUCAAUAGUUCAACCAAAAGUAGAUUGUUGUUUUUACAUUUUAAACACUAUUGCUAAACCACUUGUACAUAAAAAUGAUCACAAUGCUCUUUGGUCCUUAUUUUUGAAGAUGGUUCCACAGUUAUGGAAAAUAGGAGAUGGACUUGUAGCUCUUGGGACUUGGGCUCAUGCCAGUCUGCACUGAUCAAUGAACCCUUGUCCAUUAAAUGAAGACAGCAGCUAAUUUCAGGUAUGGAUGGAUGAUUGCCUCUUCUGUAUCUGGCUUUCAAAGCCCUCUCGCUGGACCAAGGAGGAGGGCAGCUUGACCUGAGGAGUUCACAUAAGGUCUUCUACUUCAGAAGAAAAAAACAGAACAUUAGAGGGAAUGAGCCCAUGCAUGUAAACAGCACCUAACAGGACACCCUGACCGUAGCACUGUGAACCAAUGUUAUUACUAAAUACUACUUGAAUGAAUGGACAAUAUUGAGCGACAAUACAAAAGAGCUUUAAAAGAUUGUUGCAUGCACGGUAAUGUGGAAACAUUUAGUAUGCCUGAGACCGAUUGUGUAUUAAGAUGAAGAAUCAAAUUGAAUCAGCCACAUUCGACUCAUAUGAGCAUCAUGAUAAUCAUUCAAUAGGUCCGGAAAGUAACUUCCCCAGUUGUAAAAUCGAAUUGGGCGUUAAUUUGGGAGUUUUUCUGUUUAUAAAUUAGCUUUAUCUAAUCAAUUGUUCCUUUAUAAUUUGAUAUAUCCCAACAGACAACAAUUAUGUUUCAGACGUCAGAGCACAAUUCUGAUAAUAACUGUGAAUUCCUUUUUUAUUUAUUUGUUGGGGUUAUAACAAGUCAAAGUUGAAUAUAAUUGUGUUUAUUCUCAAGUAAACCUGCCAUGUGUAAUUCAUGUUUUUUUUUUUAACUGGACAGGACAGGAUACAGAACAUAACCAUAUUUUGUUUCUGACUAAUUUUCUAAAACAUAUGUUGAUGAGGUUUUUGUGUUCAUUUUAUAGAAGUUGCUAAGAGAAGGUGUUUCAAUGCUUCUUUUGUAUCACCAAGACUGACAUCUGGAGGAUAAAACAAAGAGCUGCAAGUGUUUCAGACUUCUUUUCUUUUUGGAAUUCUGAGGAAUUAGUUUUUUGGAAACACUAAUGAACCCCUUGCGUGUCCUUUGCGUGCCCUUUUCACACCAAAACCCAUUCAUUCUCUAUGGUUGUGCUAAACCACUGCGGGUGUAAUAUAUCUUUGGCCACCGGUGGCGCUGUUGUGCGGACCGAGCGUUUGCCCGGAUGUAAAGCGUUUCUCCGGUCAUUCUCCGUCAGUCUACCCGGGAUAGAGCACCGAAGCGACGGUGCACCUUCGUCGGACCUCGCGCUAUGAGGAAGUCACUAAACAGUAAGUCAAUGACAUUUAAUGUGUAAUAAUUAUUAAGAUAAAUAUGCAGCAUGACUAUAAAUAUAAUUUAUGUUGGUGUCACGCCACAUGUUAGUUUAUAGUUGUGUUCACGUGUGUUUGACUGCAUUAAUUACUAGUUGCAUAUCACAGAUGUUACUCAACUAAUAAAUGAGGAUCUUGUAAUAGAUUAAACCACCAGAAUUGUUUAAAGUCAGUCAAAUUUAAACACAUUAAUGCCUCAAUGAUUAGGAUAAUAUAUGAUAUAUUUGGCAUCACGACUAGUUUUAAUCUUACUUUAAAAAAAGUUAAUUUAACUUAAAGUUAAUUUAAGUCCCUGAAGCCCAUGUACUGGGGACUGGCACAGCGCUGCAGCGCUGCAGGCAUAGAAAAGGCACAAUAACAGUGGGUAGACAGGUAAAUUAUAUCAAUAUUUUUAACCAUCAUUGGUGACACAAACAGCUCAUAGUAACAACUUAGAUUACUUUUCAUUUUUUUCAGUUUCAUUAAAGAAAAGCCCUUUGCAUUCAAUUUUAUUUUGAUGACCAUAUCCACCGGUGCACACAUGGUGGUCUAUAUGACUGCUGUCACAUCGAUGGCUUUCCUUUUCUUUUUUCUUUCAGGGAUUGCUGUGUUGCACUUAAGGUGGCAGAGUCGUCUGCAGGAGAACAUCUGAAAUGGGAUUCUUGGAGAACAAGAGAUUGCCAAUGUCACGUCUGGCAACCAUCACAUUUUAAUGCAAACAUUAAUAUCAAGCUGGACUUGUUUCACUGCAUGAGGCGGUUCCUCCGUGAGUGUGUGUCGGUGGCAUCCCGCCCUGUACAGUUCCUUUGCUCAGUUCCUUUGCUCAGUUCCUCUGGACUGGGACAAGCACAACAGCAAGACAGAUCACACCCAGGCCCCGAAUCCACCUCCUCAAAGUGAUCCACUCGCUACACAGUCGGAGGUUCAAGGGUGUUCCAGUUUUCUCCAUACAUUUGUGUCACUUAUCCAUUUUUUUACAAGAUGUGAAAAUAUAUUUAGGGUGUUAUUAAAUAAACAUUCACAUACAAAUACCAGUCUUUCAUGAGCUUUUAAUGAAAGUUUAUAUUUAUUAGACAAGUAUUUGAUUCUCUAGGUCAGAAUGACUUAUAAUACUCUGUCUUUUGUUCCUGUAGAAACUCUACACAGCAAAAAUUGGAGUGUUGAAAUUUCAGGGUUAAAAAUUUCCGAGUUGAUUUUCACUCCCAGAGUGUAAUUUCAACACAUUCUGAUUUAAAUGGUGUUCAGUGUUGGAGUUAUUUGGCAGAGUUGAUCAUGUCAGUGUUAACCCAACUCCGCAGAGACGUAAUUAAGCUCCGCCCACGCCUUUCACCUCUUCGGUUAGAGACAGAGAAGACAAGUCUGCGCCAUUUUCUACCUCUCAUGCAGCACUACACGGUAAGUGCAAUUAAGUUAAACUUACUGAAACAAUUAAAAAUUGAUGCUGAGAAUUUCAGUAUGAACAAUUAAAUAUCCACAGAGAAUAUAUGCCUUACACAGCCGUGUUUGUUGCCAGGACUGAACAGUAAAUUUGUCCUCGUGGUUAGCUAGCUAGUUAGCAGUGUACGGUAAGCUAGCUAACAGUUUGUUACUAAAACUCUCCAACUUUAUCAAUAAUGAUUUAACAAUUCACAGGCAUGCUCAAAGCUAGGAAAUACAAAGCAUUAUGAUUUUUAACUGCAUAAAAUCUUGUUUGAGGCUGGAGCUGACGUUUUUUUUUUCACUUUGAAGAUCAAAGGGACCGCAAAAAACGUGUCCCAACAUGCAGACGGGUGUUUCACGUGUCUAGUUCACGUGUCUUGACAAUCAUGGGUAUGUUUGUUUCACAUUGUUUUUAUUUGUGCAUGACCAUUGCAUGAAUGUACUAAUUUAAUAUCUCCUCUCAGGCACUGCCCCACUAAAACAAUCAGAAGUUUAUGCACGUGGGAUAGUGACGCUGUUCCCUUCCCUUAAGGAUCCAUACUCCAAGAAGGGCUAUGUAAUAGGCAUUAUUAUUGUUUAAACUUCCAUGUCUUGUUGUGACCCAAAACUGUGUGGAUGACAUUGAUAUUUGAAUUCCGUGAGAUUUCUCAUGAGCCUGGUAUUACAACACAUUUCUUUUUUUCAUUUCAGGAACACUUCUAUGAUGCUGCAAGCAGCACAGGGUACAUUUCUUGGCGUCUGAAAACAGUCCAGAGGAAGAUUCUGCACAGCCACCAAAUAGCCCAAUUGACUUUUCUCCAGGAGGCCCAAAUUGGCAAAGGACUGUUAAUGUUGAAGGGCAGCUUGAUGGUGAUGCUUGCCAAGAGGCCAUGUCUUUGCUUAACCAUACAGCAGACAAUUCCCUGAUUUUCCAGAAGAUGAGAGAAACCUUUCAGCAUCGUCAGAAGUUUGUUUGACUAAUAGAUGGAUGACUGUUUAAAACUUUGUCAUAAUGCCUCCCUGUUCUCAUUCAAACUUAACGUGUUACAUUUGAAAAGUUUUUAGUUAACUCUUGUGACUGUUUGUCCUCAGCCUACGACCAAGAAAUGGCCUCCCUGUUGUUGCUGUUACAUCUCCUUCCACCACCUCCAGGGGGACUGAAGUCUCCAAAAAAUAGUGCAUGUGAUGCAGUUGAAAGACUUGUUGUAUUUCAUAAGUCAUGCUGCAGUUUGGAGGAGCAUCUCCGCAACCAGCAGGGUCGGCAGCCGUACCUCCUCGCUGUUGGGCGUCAGAAGAGCAAGAUUGACAGCUUCUACAUCACCAUGGAUAAGCGUCUCAUCCCAUGCAAGGCAAACCGCUCCCUCGGGGCAUGUGAUGAACUUUUCAAAGCACAUUUUGUGUUUAAUUUGUCUUACGAUGUGGCACUUGUGAAUUUUUAUACAUUCCUGCAGACAACAGUGUAUAACAUUGAUGUGGGGAAAAUGAAGGAGUCACCCAGAGUUAAAGACUUGAGAGCAAGACUGCUUAACCAGCCAGUAGCAUUCUCACCCUGUGAGUAAGAAGCUAUAACAAUGCUGACCUGUUUCAUGUGUUGACAAACAAGCUAUUUACAGAGAAUUUUCAUGACCAUCAUCAUGCAUUCAGAGUAUUACGAAGUGCGGAAAGAUGUUUACUAAAAAUGUCUGCGCUUAAAUUUCAUAAACCGUUUCAUAUUCAAAGCUCAUAUAAUGUUUUGGAUGAAAGUUUGUACAUUAUACCUUCAUUCACAAUGUUUUAAUUCAACUGACUGCAAGGGAGAAAAGGAAUAAAUGUUUUUGAAAAUGUUUUUUAUUGUGAUGAAUUCUUAUUAAUAUAAGUAUAUAUUUAAUUAAUACAUUUAAAAUGAAUUAACAUUUUUUCAGUGUAGAUAAUUGACACAUUAGGGAGUGUAAUUAACACUACCAAAAUAGUUAAAAAAAUUAACUCGGAGCAGUGUUAGUUGUCUAAUCCCUCAGUGUUACUUUAACACUGUUUUGUGAGUUAAUAAAGGAACUCUGGUAGAGUGUUAAAUGUUUAACUAUUUUGAAAGUGUUAAUUUAACUCUGGAGAGUGUGGAGCUAUAUAAACUCUCAAAAAGUGUUGAAAUCAACUCUGUGGGAGUUAAUUCAACACUGGACAUUUUGCUGUGUACGUCCGCCGUCGCUGGCAGUUAUCGACCUGCUGCUCAACAAACACCGUGAGCAGAAGGACAUGCUGAAGCUUGUGGACCAGGACUACGCUGCUCUAGUUCACAACUCCUGCACAGACCCCAACAGCAUGCUCCACCCGACAACAAAACUACAUGUUCUACAAUAUGUAAAGCACCUCAGCAAAUUGUUGAACACCAGUUCCUCUUUAAACGUCAGUCCAGAAAAACUGCAAGAGAGGCAGAAACUCUGUCACUCUCUGACAGAGGCGAGUGAGACUACUAGUGUGCAGGUUGUUACGAUGUCUGUUGUAAUUGUUCACCCACCUCCACCUGUUCAGAUGCUGACACAAGCUUCUGUUGAGAAGAUUGUACCCAACAUCAUGGAAAAGCAGCAGCAACAUAAACAGGAACAACAACAACAACCGGGGCAAAAGAAGGGCCGCACGAAAGACAAAAGUUCUUUCAGCUAGAACUGGAUGCCACACAGAAAAGUUCCAUCUGGCAUUUUAAGUGCAAUUAUUUGUAAUAUUCAUGUUGUAAUUAGUUUAUAUAUUGGUUUCUUGCAUUUGUGACUUUGUACAUUGAAAUAUUAUCAUUUUAUUAUUUAUAUUUGGUUUUAAUAUUCAUUAGUUUAAUUAUUUAAAUGUCUUUAUUUCUGUAACAUGUUUGUUUGUAUAGGACUAUACAAAUCGGUUGAUGUAUCUGUGUUCAACAUUUACUGUCCAAGUUAAUAAAUAUAUUUCAAUU
ensembl:lncRNA